GAAUCUCUCCUAAUUAGUUAUUGUUUCCUUAGAGAUAGUGAUUGUGCAUAUUAUAUGGCUUAGAUUAGGAAUCCCACUUGUAUAUAUAUAGGUCACUUUGUAUUCAGUUUUGACACAGAAAAAAGAAGAAUAUUUUCUUCAUGGUAUCAGAGCAUUCAGAUCUGAACCACGUAUAAAAAAAAAAUCAUCUUUUUCCAUGGAGAGCAGAACGGAAGGAUUAAACUUAGAGGUGACGUCCAGACCUGAAGCAGUUCACUCCGGCAGUACCAGCACCACAGAUGGCAUCAUUCUUCCCAUAACAGGUCAUAAACUCAAUGCGCAGAAUUUUAUUUAAUGGGCUCAGUCUGCUCGGAUCUUCAUCUGCAGGAAAGGUAAGGAAGAAUACCUUACAGGAGCCAUUGUUCAGCCGAAGGAAGAUGCUCCAGGAUACCAAACCUGGAAGUUGGAAAAUAGUAUGGUGAUGUCUUGGUUAAUUAACUCUAUGACCAAUGGCAUAGGAGAAAACUUCAUGUAUUAUGGCACAGCAAAGGAGAUAUGGGAUGCAGCUAGAGAGACCUACUCCAACAUCGAUAAUACCUCGGCAAAUUUCGAAAUCAAGAGUAUUCUCCAAGAUCUUCGACAAGGAGAUUCAACUGUUACCGAAUAUUUUAAUAUCCUUACACGGUAUUGGCAACAACUCGAUAUUUAUGAAGAAUUGGUUUGGAAGUGUCCCGAAGAUGGACUCCUAUACAAGGUCAUUGAAAAGGAACACAUCUACAAAUUUUUACUUGGCCUUAAUAAGAAUUUAGAUGAGGUACGUGGAAGAGUUCUAAGUAUUAAGCCAUUACCUAGUGUUAGGGAAGUUUUUUCUGAAAUUCGCAGAAAGGAAAGCAGACAAAAAGUGAUGUUGGGUACCCAAAAUUCCUCCAAAAAUCUUGAGAACUCAGCCCUAGUUGCACGAGGAACCCAAUCCAACAACAACAACCACCAAACGAAGAAGAAUCGUCCAUGGUGCGACCAUUGUAGAAAACCUGGACACACGAAAGAGACUUGUUGGCAUCUACACGGUAAACCUGCUGAUUGGAAACCUUCUCGGCCACAGCAAAACAGAGAAGGUCGGGGUUACACCGCCGCAGCCGAAGAGAACACAUCUGGCACUAGCUCAAAUCCUGGACCGUUUAGCAAAGAGCAAUUGGAGGCACUACAGAAAAUGGUCCAACAGACUCUUCAAUCAAUUGGAACAACUAUUGGUUCUGCAUCUGUAGCCCAGAAAGGUAUUUUUUCCCAUGCCCUAAAUGUUAGACAGGAAAAUCACACUACAUGGAUAGUGGACUCAGGAGCUUCAGAUCACAUGACUGGGAAUCUCAUGGUUUUUCAUGAAUAUACUCCUUGCCAUAACAAUUCCUCUGUUCGAAUUGCCGAUGGAACCCUUUCUAGGGUAUUCGGCACAGGUUCAGUUAUUAUUUCCAAGGAUAUUACUCUUCACUCCGUGUUCUAUGUUCCGAAAUUGGAUUGCAACCUAUUGUCUAUAAAUUUGAAAACUUCAACAACAUGGUUCAGACGCAGUUUCAGGCAAAAAUUCAAGUCCAUCGGACAGAUAAUGCUCGAGAAUGCUAUAACAACAUUCUUGGGUCAUAUCUUUUGGAGAAUGGCAUCGUAUAUCAAAGCUCAUGCAUUGAUACUCCACAGCAAAAUGGAGUUGCAGAAAGGAAAACUAGACAUUUGAUGGAGGUUGCACGAUCCCUCAUGAUAGCUUCAAACGUGCCUAAACAAUUAUGGGGUGAAGUUGUACUCACAACAACCUACUUGAUCAACCGAAUGCCUUCUAGGAUUCUUCAAUUUAAAACCCUGUGUCAAAUCCUCCUCGCUACAUAUCCAUCCGCUCGAAUAAUCUCGUCUAUCCCAAUCAAAGUCUUUGGUUGUACUGCUUUCGUUCACAUCCAUAAGUCCCAACGUAGUAAACUUGAUCCGACAGCCACUAAAUGCAUCUUUCUCGGGUACUCACCAAACCAAAAAGGAUAUAAGUGCUACUCUCCAACAACCAAGAAAUUCUACACUUCCAUGGAUGUCACUUUCUUCGAAAAUCAACCCUUCUACCCCAAAACUGCAAUUCAGGGGGACAACUGGUCCACAGAUGAAUUCCAAUUUUGGGAAACCGAAAUCAGCACUACUUCUCCUUUGAGUUCAUCGCUACCUCCUCAAACAGAUACUACUCUUUCUGUCCCCGAAAACAAUUCCUUGGAUGUCCCUUUUGUCACACCUGAGUCAACUACACAAGGCAGUAAAGAGGUAAUAGUUUAUUCUAGAAAAAAUUUAAAGGAAAAGCCCGAGAAACCUCCUCAAAAGGAGCCCGAGAACAGCACUCCACCUGAGCAGAACCAAGAAUUGGACCAGGAUCCAAGCAACCCAAACUCGCAACCAGGUAACAUAAUUUAUGAUUUAAAUUCCAGUAAUGACCUUGAUGAUCUUGAUCAACCCAUUGCUUUAAGGAAAGGUGUAAGAUCUUGCACUCAGCAUCCAAUCAGUAAUCAUGUGACCUAUGGAAAGCUUUCACAGAAUUUCCAAGCGUUCAUCACUUCUCUUGAAGAUGAUCGUAUCCCAUCCAACAUCCAAGAAGCACUUCAACAACCUGAAUGGAAGACUGCUGUUCAGGAAGAAAUACAAGCAUUGGAGAAAAAUGGGACAUGGGAAAUCUCAGAAUUACCAGAGGGUAAGAGGCCUGCUGGAUGCAAGUGGAUAUUUACCGUGAAGCACAAUCCGGAUGGAAGUAUAAACAGGUUCAAGGCUCGACUAGUAGCUAAAGGAUUUACUCAAUCCUAUGGCAUUGAUUAUGAAGAGACAUUUGCACCAGUAGCAAAGCUCAACUCCAUCAGAGUGUUAUUGUCAGUUGCAGUAAAUUUGGACUGGAAUCUGCACCAACUUGAUGUCAAAAAUGCAUUUCUCAACGGAGAACUAGAAGAGGAAGUCUACAUGAAGAUUCCACCUAGUAUGGAAACUCCAGAAAAUUCAGGAAAAGUGUGUAAACUAAGAAAGUCCCUAUACGGUCUAAAACAGUCACCUAGGGCCUGGUUUGAUCGACUGACUAGAGUUGUGAAAAAACAUGGAUUCAUCUAAUGUCAAGCAGAUCAUACACUGUUUAUGAAGCACUCUAAGGAAUGUGAAAUGACUUUGUUCAUUGUCUAUGUUGAUGAUAUUAUAAUUACCGGAGACGAUGAAGAAGGGAUAGGGAAUCGCAAGAAGCUGCUAGCAAGAGAAUUUGAAAUCAAAGAUCUUGGACAACUCAGAUACUUUCUUGGCAUGGAAGUUGGCAGAACUAAGAAGGGAAUUGUGGUCACGCAAAGGAAGUAUGUCCUUGAUCUACUUCAGGAGACUGGAAUGCUAGGUUGUAAGCCAGUGGACACGCCUAUGGAUCCUAUUGGUAAGACUGAUAAAGAUAAUGACAGUCAUCCAACUGACAAAGACAAAUACCAAAGGUUAGUAGGAAAGUUGAUCUACUUAACUCACACAAGGCCCGAUAUUGGUUUCGCUGUGAGCAUGGUAAGUCGCUACAUGAACAAUCCCACUGAAAGACACAUGAAAGCUGUAUACAGAAUUUUACAGUACCUUAAAAAGAGCCCAGGUAGAGGACUCUACUUCAAGAAAACCUCAAGUAGGGAAGUUGAGGUAUUCACAGAUGCUGAUUGGGCAGGAUCCUUGACAGAUCGGAGGUCAACUACUGGGUAUUGUUCCUAUAUGUGGGGAAACUUGGUGACUUGGAGAAGCAAGAAGCAAUCCGUAGUGGCGAGAAGCAGUGCAGAGGCAAAAUUCAAGGCAAUGGCUCAUGGGAUAUGUGAAGGAACGUGGCUCCAAAGAAUACUCAAGGAACUUGGAAUUAUAUCAAACUCCACUAUGACAGUUUUGUGUGAUAACAAGGCUACCAUAAGUAUUGCAAAGAAUCCAGUUCAACACGACAGAACCAAGCACGUGGAGAUAGACCGUCACUUCAUCAAGGAGAAACUUGAAGGGGGAACAAUCAGACUUAUGUAUAUUCCUUCAAGUCGUCAAACAGCAGACAUUCUAACAAAGGCACCUCCAAAGGCCACCUACGAAAACAUGAAAAGCAAGUUGGGAAUGCUAGACAUCUACUACCCAACUUGAGGGGGAGUGUGGAAAUAUGGGAUUAUGAUUUGUAAUUAAGUGCCAAGAUUAGAGGGAUUGUGUUAGGAUACUUUCUAUUUUUAUGGAUGAGAGAAUCUCUCCUAAUUAGUUAUUGUUUCCUUAGAGAUAGUGAUUGUGCAUAUUAUAUGGCUUAGAUUAGGAAUCCCACUUGUAUAUAUAUAGGUCACUUUGUAUUCAGUUUUGACACAGAAAAAAGAAGAAUAUUUUCUUCAUUUGAAAAAAGAAUAAUAGGGAAAGAAAUAAAGAGGAAAGUAAAAGGAAAAAAAUGAAGGAAAAAUAAAAAAAUAAAAAAUUUAAAAUCAAUAAAUU
rnacentral:lncRNA from 1 species